UACGUAGGGUGCGAGCGUUAAUCGGAAUUACUGGGCGUAAAGCGUGCGCAGGCGGUUCGUUGUGUCGGUGGUGAAAGCCCCGGGCUUAACCUGGGAAUGGCCAUGGAAACUGGCGACGUGUGAGUGUGGCAGAGGGGGGUGGAAUUCCGCGUGUAGCAGUGAAAUGCGUAGAGAUGCGGAGGAACACCGAUGGCGAAGGCAGCCCCCCUGGGCUAGCACUGACGCUCAGGCACGAAAGCGUGGGGAGCAAACAGG
rnacentral:rRNA from 1 species